UACGUAGGGUGCGAGCGUUAAUCGGAAUUACUGGGCGUAAAGCGUGCGCAGGCGGUUUUGUAAGCCAGAUGUGAAAUCCCCGGGCUUAACCUGGGAAUGGCAUUUGGGACUGCAAGGCUGGAGUGCGGCAGAGGAGACUGGAAUUCCUGGUGUAGCAGUGAAAUGCGUAGAUAUCAGGAGGAACACCGAUGGCGAAGGCAGGUCUCUGGGCUGACACUGACGCUCAUGCACGAAAGCGUGGGGAG
rnacentral:rRNA from 1 species